AAUCGGUCUACUGCUGCUGAUAUACCUCUACGCCUUCUGUCGUCUACACCAGUACAAGUUUGUGAAAGCAGUUGUAUCAACACUCUGGAAGGGGAUUGUUCUUUACAAAGAUCAGUACUCCAUUAAUUUGCAGUUGAAUGUCUAUAAUAAUAGUAUCAAUAUGUUGCAUAACUACAGUCCUGUAAUUCAGGUAACAGCUGGAAAAAAAAAUGCUUUUUUCAAAAACGCUUAUCUAAAUCUCGAAGAUCAGAUCGGAUCGGAUCGAAUCGAAUCGAAUAAUGAUAAUCGAUUCAAGAUAUUGAGAAUCGGAAUCGAAUCGAUUCUUGAAAUUUGAAUCGAAACCCAGCACUAAUCAUGUUGCAGCUUUGCUCUACCAGACCUCACAUUACAGCUAGACGGCUGUCCCCCCUACUCACAGCUGCACAGGGUCUGAGCAGCAGUGGCACAAACCUAGAACCCAGGGCUUUAAGCCUGGUCCAACAAAUGAGAUGGUGUUGUCAGCUAAGCCCAAGGAGAGACGAUUGGCUGAAGGGAUCAGGAGUAACUUGUACAAAGGGGCCUGUGACUGGACCUGUGACCUUCCAGACAUAUCAGUUCUGCGUGUGAAUGAGAUUUACCAAGGAAUGCCAAGGGAAACUGCUCCACCCAUAACAACAAUAGGAAUAGCAGGGGAUGUGCCAUUGGUGGACAGUGCCUUUGGAAAAGUUCAAGAAGGGAGUGUUCUCUCCUAUCACCUUCCAGCAUGGAGUCCACCAUAAACUUGCCCACAUACCACCACACCACCAUGACCAUCCUUACCCCUUUAUGGCUACUGUCUGGGCCCCUCAGAGUGCUGUUUUGUGUUAAGCUACCAUCAGCAGCUGCACAUGAAUUCUCUAGCAACAUUAGAGGUCAUGGCGUAACAAAUUGAGAAAAGCACAAGACAGCAAAGCACUCUGAAGGAAUGGCAUCGAUUAAGAAAUCUGCGUGUGACUUCCUCUAGAUUCAGGUAGGUUUGCCAUGUGAGAGGACAGUCCUCAGCAGAGAGCCUGGCACUGAGAAAUUUGCGGUCAGAGUGGAGAACUAUAGAGGGGCCUUCAAAUGGAGCCCAAAGCAGUAAAGGAAUACUGCUUUGUUAAGGAGGUAAAUCACUACCUUUGUGGUAUCAUCAUUCACCCAGAUGCACAUUGGCUUGGCUCACCACCAGAUGGGUUGGUGUUUGACCCUAAACCUGAACCUGUGUUUGGACUGCUGGAAGUGAAGUGCCCAAAUGUGAGAAGCUAUGUAGACUGUGCCUACCUUAGGAUCUCCGAUGGAGUGCUACAGCUCAAACAGUCUCAUGCAUACUACUGGAAGAUACAGGGCCAACUACUCAUCACUGGUUCAGAAUGGUGUGAUUUUGUUGUUUACGCUGAAGAUGACAUGUUUAUUCAAAGAAUAUUCAGAGAUGGGAGAGUCAUAAAAACAAUCAAACAAAAGGUUGAUUACUUUUACCUACCUAUGCUUUUGGCUUGAAAAUUUCCAUGGUUACCUUUCAAUCAGUUUCAAAUAGUUUGGUUUUCAUAAAAUUUCUGAGCAGUUUUCAUGUGCUCACUAUUGUCAUCUGCCACAAAAAUAUUCUAAUAGAAUAUAAUUUUUGUAUACAAAUUAUGUUAUGUAGUUGAACAUCAUUAAUUUUAUUAAAUUACUUAUUUUCCUAUAAAUGUUAUUUAUGUGUGUUUCUGAGGUUAUAUCUCAUUAGUACCUAAAAAUUGAAAAUGCUGCUACAGUAAGUGACGUUUCACCAGAAGGUUUUGAGCUGUCUUAUAUUAUUCCGAAAGUUUUAAUUAACAUUCCAUGCAUAUAGCCUAUUCAAUGUCCAUAUUUUGUAUUUAUUUAAUACAACAUUAACUGUCUUAAAAAUAAUCAAAUUAACUGAAGAUUUGUUUUUAAACGAAUAACAGAAUUAUUCAGUGCUGUGAAUUGAAAGUACCAUUAAAUGCACACAUUUGACAACAAUAUAUGUCGUGGUUGAAAACAGCUCAAGGAUAUAAACGAAAUAAGGUUCUUCCACAGUAGGUUUUUAUGCGAAAGGCAGUCAACAAGAGUGGUGUCAAAUAAAUGAAUAAAACAAAUCUCAGGUAACCGCUGUAGCUAGAGAAUUUGCCAUAAACUCAUAACUCAAAAUAAAGGAUUAUAAACUGCAAUAACCUGAAAUAUUCAUUCAAGCCCUGUGGUCAUAUUCAUGACAUAAUCAUGUUCCCAAGAGUUAUCUUAAGGCUAGAGUAUCAUAUGGAUAGAAAUGGGCAAGUGCAUAUGUUAGGAGUCUUUUCUUUAGCUGACCACAAGAUGACACUCUUGUACAGCAGUUGUAGGUAAUCAUUUGGGUCUUCUACGAAAAAACAAAAAUGUCUCUUUACUGUUGCAGAUGAAUCUGUUUGCCUUAAAUUACUUUAAAUUUAAAUCUGUUUGAAGAAUUUCUUCAACUUCAGCUUUUAGCACUGUAGAUUUUUAGAAAAUCUUGUUAAAACAUUGCUCACAUUCUUGUCCAAUAAGUACUUACACCACAGAAGAAAUAAAGUGGGGGGGAUGCAUUGGAAGGAGAUGUUAUGUUUUCCUCUUUUGUUAGUUGAUUUGGAUAAAAGCAUCUGCCAAAUGAAUAAAUGUAAUGUAAAUGUAACAACCUUGAAGUUUGGGGGUGCUUUGCUGCAGGAGGGUCUGGUGCACUUCAUAAAAUUAAUGGCAUUAUGAGGAAGGAAAUUUCCUUUUGAAGCAACAUAUCAAGACAUCAGCCAGGAAGUUAAAGCUUGGUCACAAAUGGGUCCUCCAAAUGGACAAUGACCCCAAGCAUUCCUCCAAAGUUGUAGAAAAGUGGUUUAAGGACAACAAAGUCGAGGUACUGGAGUGGCUUUCACAAAGCCCUGACCUCAAACCUGACUCUGUUACACCAGUUCUGUCUGGAGGAACGGGCCAAAAUUCCAGCAACAUAUUGUGAGUAGCUUGUGGAAGGCUACCCAAAAAAUGUAACCCAAGGUAAACAAUUUAAAGGCAAUGCUACCAAAUACUAACAAAGUGCAUGUACAUUUCUGACCCACUGGGAAUGUGAUGAAAGAAA